rnacentral:rRNA from 1 species
GACGAACGCUGGCGGCGUGCUUAACACAUGCAAGUCGAACGGACAGACCUCUUUCGGGGGGUACUCGAGUGGCGAACGGAUGAGUAACACGUAAGUAACCUACCCUUGUCUUUGGGUUAACUUCCUGCAACUAGGGCUAGUACCUACUAGGAGCUCCUUCUACCUGGUUGGUGUUGUAAAGUUUCGGCGUUUUGGGAUGGACUCGCGACGUAUCCGCUUGUUGUUGGGUUAGUGGCUUACCAAGGCUUUGACGGGUAACCGGACUGAGAGAGUGAUAGGCGAUAUUGGCACCGAGAUAAGGCCGAGAUACCGAAGGGAGGCAGAAGGGGGGAAGAGUGAACAAGGGGUGGAAGCCUGAUGCAGCAAGGCCGUGGGCGGGAUGACGGUGUUCGGGGUGUAAAACGAUUGUGUAAAUGACGAAGCUUUGUGUGACGGUAGUGGGUAAAGAAGCAACGGCUAACUACGUG